GACGAACGCUGGCGGCGUGCCUAACACAUGCAAGUCGAACGGAGAUAUUAAUGAAGCUUGCGAUUUAAUAUCUUAGUGGCGGAUGGGUGAGUAACGCGUGGGUAAUCUGCCCAUAAGUGGGGGACAACAGUUGGAAACGACUGCUAAUACCGCAUAUGGUGAGCAAUCAUUAAAGGAGGCCUCUUAACAAUGCUUCCGCUUAUGGAUGAGCCCGCGUCUGAUUAGCUAGUUGGUGGGGUAAAGGCCUACCAAGGCGACGAUCAGUAGCCGGCCUGGUAGGGUGAACGGCCACACUGGGACUGAGACACGGCCCAGACUCCUACGGGAGGCAGCAGUGGGGAAUAUUGCGCAAUGGGGGAAACCCUGACGCAGCGACGCCGCGUGAGCGAUGAAGGCCUUAGGGUUGUAAAGCUCUGUUUUAAGGGACGAAUGUCGUGGGGAGUAAUAUGUCCUACGAAUGACGGUACCUUAAGAGGAAGCCCCGGCUAACUACGUGCCAGCCGCCGCCGUAACAC
rnacentral:rRNA from 1 species